GACGAACGCUGGCGGCGUGCUUAACACAUGCAAGUCGAACGGAAAGGCCCUGCUUUUGUGGGGGGCUCGAGUGGCGAACGGGUGAGUAACACGGGAGUAACCUGCCCUUGACUUGGGGAUAACUUCAGGAAACGGGGGCUAAUACCGGAUAGGAGCUCCUGCUGCAUGGUGGGGGUUGGAAAGUUUCGGCGGUUGGGGAUGGACUCGCGGCUUAUCAGCUUGUGGGUGGGGUAGUGGCUUACCAAGGCUUUGACGGGUCGCCGGCCUGAGAGGGUGACCGGCCACAUUGGGACUGAGAUACGGCCCAGACUCCUACGGGAGGCAGCAGUGGGGAAUAUUGCACAAUGGGCGGGAGCCUGAUGCAGCAACGCCGCGUGCGGGAUGACGGCCUUCGGGUUGUAAACCGCUUUCGCCUGUGACGAAGCGUGAGUGACGGUAAUGGGUAAAGAAGCACCGGCUAACUACGUG
rnacentral:rRNA from 1 species